ensembl:lncRNA
UAUUGUAUUUUAUUUUAAUGCAUUUACUAUAGGGGUAUUUUAUACAUUUUUAUAUAUUUUUUGAGUGUAAACACAGACUCCCCAUGAAUUUCAGGCGCUACUGUUGCCAUGGUGAAUGUCUCCUUGUUGCCAUGGUUACCAACACUCGGAGCGGCUCAACAUUGAAACUUUAAACACCUGGAGACACCCGGCAAGAUAUCGGAUGAGUUUGCCAUCUCGGAUGGUGACCUCUGACCUCGCGUGCCCUACUCACCCUAGGGUGCGGUGCUUCGUUGAAGUGGAUCUGACGGACAGAGAGAACCCUCCAGCCCACGUGUCAGCCACAUUAUCCAAUUAGGAGCGAGACCAGGGAGCAUUUAAACAAACGGAAGCGGCCGCGCGCAUCGGGAGACAGGAGGGCGGAGAGUCCACGAGUCCUUCGCGAGCGUUUGGUCUCCUAUCUAGGAUGCGUUAAUAGUGCGCUGGUAACACUUAAAUGGCUUAAAACGUUCUAUUUAUACCCGCGGAGACUCGUGUCCGCUCCCCCGACGGUUGGACGAGCUGGUUUUGAGUCGUCGACGAGUUACGUCAACGCUUGAAAAUGCAUCUACUUGGCAUUUUGGUGCUCAUGUUAUGCGGGUCAUCACUGGGGUUCCCUGUUCCAGUAGAUACCAUCCUAGUGCAGGUGCAGCAGCGGGGAGUGGUGGGUGCUCGGCAGGUGGUGGAGCAGGUCCUUUUCAACGGGGUCUCCCUCACUGGCAAAAGCCCGGAAGUUGACCGCAUAAUCCAAACCAUUUCAGCUGAUCCACUCCUUCCAACUCUUCUCCGUUUCAACCAGACUUCCGUCAUGAGAGACCACACCGUCCUCCGUUCCCGUGAAUGCAUAGUGGAGGGGUCUCUGCUGCACUGGGCCGACCGCGUGUUCUAUGACGGGGAGGUCUAUCUGACUCUGGACCACGGCGGCGGGUGGACCCCCCGCGUACCAGAAGCGCUGGCUUUCAAGGUGGUGUGGGAGCAGCAGGAGCAGCGCACAAAGAGGGAGACGAGCCACCUUCACGAGGGCUGCAUCAAGCUGAUGAGAGAGCUGAUGCUUUCGCAGGAGCAGUCGGUUCCAGGGAUUUCUUUGCCGCAGUUUCUGAUGCCCGUCUUGGCGCUCUUGGCAUUUACAGGACUGCUCAUAAUCAGCCUCAUCCUCACCAAAAAGAAAGGUUCGACACAGCCUGGAGGUGUUAUUGGAUCUAUUAUACACUACCCCAAAGACAUGACUGAAACAGCUGCAGAAAUCAACGGUUACAGGAGCUUGGAGUUCAAAGCUAAUGAACAUGGUCCCAUUUGA